UCAAAGGAGCAAUCCGCUUGAGGAGGGGGUCGCGGCUGAUUAGCUAGUUGGUAGGGUAACGGCCUACCAAGGCGGAGAUCGGUAUCCGGCCUGAGAGGGCGCACGGACACACUGGAACUGAAACACGGUCCAGACUCCUACGGGAGGCAGCAGUGGGGAAUUUUGCGCAAUGGGGGAAACCCUGACGCAGCAACGCCGCGUGGAGGAUGAAGUCCCUUGGGACGUAAACUCCUUUCGACCCGGAAGAUACUGACGGUACGGGUGGAAGAAGCACCGGCUAACUCUGUGCCAGCAGCCGCGGUAAUACAGAGGGUGCGAGCGUUGUUCGGAAUUAUUGGGCGUAAAGGGCGCGUAGGCGGUGCGGUAAGUCACCUGUGAAAUCUCCUGGCUCAACUGGGAGCUUGCAUGCGAAACUGCCGUGCUGGAGUGUGGGAGAGGUGCGUGGAAU
rnacentral:rRNA from 1 species